UAGGGAAUCUUCCGCAAUGGACGAAAGUCUGACGGAGCAACGCCGCGUGAGUGAAGAAGGAUUUCGGUUCGUAAAACUCUGUUGUUAGGGAAGAAAAAAUGUAUAGUAACUAUAUACAAAAGAGACGGUACCUAACCAGAAAGCCACGGCUAACUACGUGCCAGCAGCCGCGGUAAUACGUAGGUGGCAAGCGUUGUCCGGAAUUAUUGGGCGUAAAGCGCGCGCAGGUGGUUUAGAAAGUCUGAUGUGAAAGCCCACGGCUCAACAGUGGAGGGUCAUUGGAAACUAAUAAACUUGAGUGCAGGAGAGAAAAGUGGAGUUCCUAGUGUAGCGGUGAAAUGCGUAGAGAUUAGGAGGAACACCGGUGGCGAAAGCGGCUUUUUGGCCUGCAACUGACACUGAGGCGCGAAAGCGUGGGGAGCAAACAGG
rnacentral:rRNA from 1 species